AAUCCUCUGGGAUGUUAGUUACGCUGCGAUAAGUGACUCAGCUGUACCAGAAAAUAGGGAUUCAGCUCUCGUUGUGGUGUGCAAGCCAUUCAGUUGGAAGCCUGAAGCAGCGAUAUGAAACCCACUUGCAGCGUCAGCGAGUCACCGCUACUCCACGGCAUCCUGGAGGGUUU
rnacentral:other from 1 species